rnacentral:tRNA from 1 species
UCCCUGGUGGCUCAGUGGUAAAGCAUCUGCCUGCCAAUGCAUGAGACACAGGUUUGAUCCCUGAUCUGGGAA